UUGUUUUCUAAUUUAGAGACUUGCAUCUUUUCGACACUCAACAGUAUCAAGACACUCUGCUACUACAGAUUGAUUUCCACCAUCAACACCUUUACCUCUUCCCGCCUGAAAAUAAAAUAUGAAAUAUAACAAGUAAAUCGCAAUCUACCUUGCACAGAAUCUUCUGGAGAGGAAAGAAGAAACCAUGUCUAGACAAGGUGCUGGAAAGACCCAGGGAAGACACAGGGAAAUCAUCUUUCGGGAAUUUAUCUAAGAAGAACUUCUUAUGAUAUAUGAAGUCUGGGGGUAAGACCUGCAGUAAUUUCCCUUAAGAUACUACAGAAUUUCCAAGGACUUGAGGAAUAAUUGCACUCUUGAAAGAGCCUAUGAAAAAAGAAGAGACUUGGGAAAUUUAACAGAAGUUCACUUUCCACCACUGCGCAAACUAAGGAAAAACUUAAAGCAGUAAAUAGCUGCGGUUGGCAAAGCUGUUUUGGCUCAGGAGCAGCUAUCAGGCCUUGAUAAGGUCCACAAGUCUGCUGUUCUAAAAUCAAAAAAAAAAAAAAAAA
rnacentral:lncRNA from 1 species